rnacentral:tRNA from 1 species
GGGGUGUUAGUCCAAAAAAGACAACUAAUUUCGACUUAGUUAAUUAUGGUUUAAAUCCAUAAUACCCCU